rnacentral:rRNA from 1 species
GACGAAGGGGGCUAGCGUUGUUCGGAAUUACUGGGCGUAAAGCGUGUGUAGGUGGUUGUCCAAGUUGGAUGUGAAAGCCUUGAGCUCAACUCAAGAAAUGCAUUCAGGACUGGGCGGCUAGAGGACCGGAGAGGAUAGUGGAAUUCCCAGUGUAGUGGUGAAAUGCGUAGAUAUCCGGAGGAACACCAGUGGCGAAGGCGACUUUCUGGCCUGUUCUUGACGCUGAGGCGCGAAAGCGUGGGGAGCAAACAGG